CUAUCAGGGCAAGCCCUUCAGAGUUUGUCAUCCCUCUAGAUAAGUAUGUCAAAGCAGUAUAUCACACCCGUGUUUCCAUCGGCAUGCGUUUUAGAAUGCUAUUUGAAACUGAGGAGUCUAGUGUGCGCAGAUAUAUGGGCACUGUCACAGGGAUAAGUGAUCUAGAUCCUGUUUGAUGGCCAAAUUCAUAUUGGCGCUCUGUGAAGGUUGGCUGGGAUGAGUCAACUUCUGGAGAGAGGCAGCCAAGAGUCUCUCUUUGGGAGAUUGAGCCUUUAACAACGUUUCCAAUGUAUCCAUCUUCCUUUCCACUUAGGCUCAAGCGCCCUUGGUCUUCUGACUUGCCCUCACUACAUGGUGGGAGAGAUGAUCUUAUGUGGCUUCGAGAUGGAGACAGAGCAAUCCAGUCUUUGAAUUUCCAGGGAUUCUGUAAUCAGACGUUUACCGAGUGCUAUUUCAAAAGCUGGAAAUGUGAGUGGCUGAAGGGGAAGAGAACACUAGGGAAGAUUUAGUUAAAUCUCU